CUACUAACUUCGGCAGUACAUAUACUAAAAUUGGAACGAUAUAGAGAAAAUUAGCAUGGCCCCUGCGCAAAGACGACACGCAAAAUCGUGAAGCGUUCCACAUUUUU